AUUGAACGCUGGCGGCAUGCUUUACACAUGCAAGUCGAACGGUAACAGGCCGCAAGGUGCUGACGAGUGGCGAACGGGUGAGUAAUGCAUCGGAACGUGCCCAGUCGUGGGGGAUAACUGCUCGAAAGAGCAGCUAAUACCGCAUACGAUCUAUGGAUGAAAGCGGGGGACCGUAAGGCCUCGCGCGAUUGGAGCGGCCGAUGUCAGGUUAGGUAGUUGGUGGGGUAAAGGCUCACCAAGCCAACGAUCUGUAGCUGGUCUGAGAGGAAGACCAGCCACACUGUGACUGAGACACGGCCCAGACUCCUACGGGAGGCAGCAGUGGGGAAUGUUGGACAAUGGGGGCAACCCUGAUCCAGCAAUGCCGCGUGCAGGAAGAAGGCCUUCGGGUUGUAAACUGCUUUUGUACGGAACGAAACGGUCUGGGUUAAUACCCUGGGCUAAUGGCGGUACCGUAAGAAUAAGCACCGGCUAACUACGUGCCAGCCGCCGCCGUAACAC
rnacentral:rRNA from 1 species